UGCCCGGUAGUGUAAUGGUAGCACAUCAGAAUUUGGGUCUGACUGUCAAGGUUCGAAUCCUUGCCGGGCAACCA
rnacentral:tRNA from 2 species